GACGAACGCUGGCGGCGUGCCUAAUACAUGCAAGUCGAGCGAAGUUUUUCUGGUGCUUGCACCGGAAAAACUUAGCGGCGAACGGGUGAGUAACACGUAAAGAACCUGCCUCAUAGACUGGGACAACUAUUGGAAACGAUAGCUAAUACCGGAUAACAGCAUUAACUGCAUGGUUGAUGUUUAAAAGUUGGUUUUGCUAACACUAUGAGAUGGCUUUGCGGUGCAUUAGCUAGUUGGUGGGGUAAAGGCCUACCAAGGCGACGAUGCAUAGCCGACCUGAGAGGGUGAUCGGCCACACUGGGACUGAGACACGGCCCAGACUCCUACGGGAGGCAGCAGUAGGGAAUCUUCCGCAAUGGGCGAAGGCCUGACGGAGCAACGCCGCGUGAGUGAAGAAGGAUUUCGGUUCGUAAAGCUCUGUUGUUAGGGAAGAAUGAGUGUGUAGUAACUAUACACAGUAGAGACGGUACCUAACCAGAAAGCCACGGCUAACUACGUG
rnacentral:rRNA from 1 species